AAUGCCGUAGUUAAAUUUGUCCCGAUUCUUGCUACGCUAUAGUUGCCGUAGCUUUUUUUAGUUUUCUUCCGGUGCAAUAUUAGUUGAGCUUGUUAUUUUUAUUUUUCAUUUUUAUUAAGGAAAUAAUGGUUCCCAUCGGUGUGCCGCUUACUCUCUAAACCCCUUCUCUCUCUCUCUCCUUUUCUCUUUUCUCCGGAUACGAUCGACGACUUCGAGAGGGGCGUAGAGCGGAGCCCUCUCUCUCCCGCCGCCCAAAAAUCUCUGCCGUUGAUUCAAUUCUGGUAUGUGAAAUUCAUGUAGUUGAUGAUUCGCUGGCCUUAGGGUUCGUGUCAUCUUAUCUCAGAUCUACUUGCAAAUGGCUCAGAUCUACCUCCAUCUUUACCUCCUUGGCGGCUCUCUCACAGACCAAAGGAAGCCAUGGCCGCCGUGCAUGUCGUAUCCUGCCCUCCCCGGCUUGGCAGUGAAUCGUUUGGUGGCACAUGAAUUAGAAUUAGGUCGAAUAUAUUCUCGCAUAGAUUCACAUGAAAAACCCAGUCCAGACUAUCUGCUGCAACAAUGGCUGUAGGGGAGCCCAGAGCACCAAAGUAAUAAAUUCACAUCUCCAUGUUUGGGCUUUCCCUCAUAAGGUAACCCAACUCAGUUUUCUACUGUUUUGCUAGUGUAAUUUUUUCUUUUCUUUUUGGGUAAGUUAAAUUGGGAUUGGAUUUUGGGUUUUUAGGCUG